AUUGAACGCUGGCGGCAGGCCUAACACAUGCAAGUCGAGCGGAUGAAGGGAGCUUGCUCCUGGAUUCAGCGGCGGACGGGUGAGUAAUGCCUAGGAAUCUGCCUGGUAGUGGGGGAUAACGUCCGGAAACGGGCGCUAAUACCGCAUACGUCCUGAGGGAGAAAGUGGGGGAUCUUCGGACCUCACGCUAUCAGAUGAGCCUAGGUCGGAUUAGCUAGUUGGUGGGGUAAAGGCCUACCAAGGCGACGAUCCGUAACUGGUCUGAGAGGAUGAUCAGUCACACUGGAACUGAGACACGGUCCAGACUCCUACGGGAGGCAGCAGUGGGGAAUAUUGGACAAUGGGCGAAAGCCUGAUCCAGCCAUGCCGCGUGUGUGAAGAAGGUCUUCGGAUUGUAAAGCACUUUAAGUUGGGAGGAAGGGCAGUAAGUUAAUACCUCGCUGUUUGGACGUGACCAACAGAAUAAGCACCGGCUAACUUCGU
rnacentral:rRNA from 1 species